GGUGAAGUGACCACAGAGGAAGAAGCACCGCGUCUGACACUCACUUCCGUUUCACCUGUUCCAGGACUAAAGAGAGAGAUGUUAGUGAUGACAGCUUUCUCUUAAAGGCUUCACACUCCACUGCACUGACUGAAGGAAACAUUAGCUCGGCUGAACACACAUCGAAUACAAUUUAAAAAGCAGCAGAGAGAGAGAAAUGCAUGUGCACUAAUGCAAUGGAG